GGUUCAAUGUUUUAAGUCUUCUUGUCAAGACUUCUCAUCGUGUUCAUUCUUCAGGUGCGUCAUUUGAUUCAGGUGCGGACCUUGACGUCUGCACCUUUUAAUACGGUGUCACCCAUGUUCUUCGUUUGCCCAGCAGUUCGAAGCGCGGUGUUAGCAGUAUCUUGCUCAAUGUGUUUGUGCUCGUAGUGUACCUGCUCAUAGAGACAAGGCAGAGAUCAAGUGCAUGGGCCCUGUUGGUGGAAAACACCAACAGAACCAAAAGUGUAUUUGUUCUUCUCUAGCCUUAAGCAUAGUGAGCAAGACAAGUUGAUGGAUGAUAAGUUCAUGAGUGUAGCACUUAUAACAUUUGUCAGAUCAGAUCGCUCAACCUUAUGGAAACAUAAUCUAUCUAUGUAUGUCUUUUUCUUUAUAUCUCUCAAUGAUUGAAUGUGUAACAUUUUAGCUCAUAUGAUUAGGAGUGUGGGAUCAUGGAGGUAGUACUAAGAACAAGGAUUAAAGGACUAAACAUGUUGAAUCAGUUGGGUUGGUUAAUCUAGAGUUGUAAAUCAUACAUGUUUGUCUCUUUUAUUUAUAUGAACGCUAGAACCAAGGAGAAGCUUAUAAAAGUGAUAGUCAAGUACCUUAAGAUGUUA
rnacentral:lncRNA from 1 species